AGUGAACGCUGGCGGUAGGCCUAACACAUGCAAGUCGAACGGCAGCACAGUAAGAGCUUGCUCUUACGGGUGGCGAGUGGCGGACGGGUGAGGAAUACAUCGGAAUCUACUUUUUCGUGGGGGAUAACGUAGGGAAACUUACGCUAAUACCGCAUACGACCUACGGGUGAAAGUAGGGGAUCUUCGGACCUUGCGCGAUUGAAUGAGCCGAUGUCGGAUUAGCUAGUUGGCGGGGUAAAGGCCCACCAAGGCGACGAUCCGUAGCUGGUCUGAGAGGAUGAUCAGCCACACUGGAACUGAGACACGGUCCAGACUCCUACGGGAGGCAGCAGUGGGGAAUAUUGGACAAGGGGCGCAAGCCUGAUCCAGCCAUACCGCGUGGGUGAAGAAGGCCUUCGGGUUGUAAAGCCCUUUUGUUGGGAAAGAAAAGCAGCAGGUUAAUACCCCGCUGUUCUGACGGUACCCAAAGAAUAAGCACCGGCUAACUUCGUG
rnacentral:rRNA from 1 species